ensembl:snRNA U6 U6 spliceosomal RNA
GUGCUUGCUUUGGCAGCACGUAUGCUGAAGCUGGAACAAUACAGAGAAGAUUAGCAUGGCCCCUGUGCAAGGAUAACAUGCCAACUCAUGGAGACUUCCAUAUUUUU